CGCUCAGUAGUCAGUGUAGAUCCUGUCUUUACAAUCAGCAGCUACAUCUGGCUACUGGGUCUC
rnacentral:pre_miRNA from 1 species